UACAGAGGUCUCAAGCGUUGUUCGGAUUUAUUGGGCGUAAAGAGCGUGUAGGCGGCCAGGGAGGUCCGUUGUGAAAACUCGAGGCUCAACCUCGAGACGCCGAUGGAAACCCCCUGGCUAGAGUCCGGAAGAGGAGAGUGGAAUUCCUGGUGUAGCGGUGAAAUGCGCAGAUAUCAGGAAGAACACCCGUGGCUAAGGCGGCUCUCUAGUACGGUACUGACGCUGAGACGCGAAAGCGUGGGGAGCGAACAGG
rnacentral:rRNA from 1 species